GACGAACGCUGGCGGCGUGCUUAACACAUGCAAGUCGAACGCUGAACCCGCUUCGGUGGGGGAUGAGUGGCGAACGGGUGAGUAACACGUGGGCAACCUGCCCCGGCUCUGGGAUAACUCCAAGAAAUUGGGGCUAAUACCGGAUGUGACCGCUGGCCGCAUGGUCUGGUGGUGGAAAGGGUUUCCGGCUGGGGAUGGGCCCGCGGCCUAUCAGCUUGUUGGUGGGGUAGUGGCCUACCAAGGCGACGACGGGUAGCCGGCCUGAGAGGGUGACCGGCCACACUGGGACUGAGACACGGCCCAGACUCCUACGGGAGGCAGCAGUGGGGAAUAUUGCGCAAUGGGCGGAAGCCUGACGCAGCGACGCCGCGUGGGGGAUGACGGCCUUCGGGUUGUAAACCUCUUUCAGCAGGGACGAAGCGCAAGUGACGGUACCUGCAGAAGAAGCACCGGCCAACUACGUG
rnacentral:rRNA from 1 species